rnacentral:rRNA from 1 species
AUGAUCUAUUAAUUUAUAUUUUUUAGAAAAAAAAAGAUAUAAUUAUGUGGCAAUAUAAUAUAUUAAAUAUAUUAAUAGGGGUGAUAGGCCUAUCAAAUUUUAUUAUAUCUUGAUAAUUAUUAAAAGUAUUUAGUACUUAAGACAAUCAAUAAGUAAUAAGAUUUAUUGAAGAAAUAAAUUUUUUUAAAAAAAUUAUAAAAUGAAGAAUUAAUUUUUACAUUUAUUAAAAUUUAAUAAUAUUUAUUAUAUUUAAAUUAUUUUAUUUAAUAAUUUUUAAAAAAUAAUUGAGUUUUUUAUUAAUAAUGUUAAUAUUAGUAGUAAAAUAUAUUAAAUUUAUGUAAGGAACUCGGCAAAAGAAAUAUUCAACUGUUUAUCAAAAACAUAGCCUAAUGGAUAAUUUAUAUUAGGUAAAUUCUGCUCAAUGUAUUAAUAAAUAGCCGCAGUACUUUGACUGUGCGAAGGUAGCAUAAUAAAUUGGCUUAUAAUUGAAGUCGGGAAUGAAGGAAUAUAUGGAUAUUAUCUGUUUCACAUAAAAUCAAUUUAAUUUUCUUAAUAAGUGAAAAUUCUUAUAAAUAUUAUAAUAGACGAGAAGACCCUUGAAAUUUUUAUAACUAUAUAAAAUUUAUUAACAAUUUUUGUUGGGGCGACAGAUUUACAAUUAACUAAAUCUUAUUUAAUUAUAUAAUACAAAUUUUAUUAAUUAAAAAUAAAUUACUCAAGGGAUAACAGCAUAAUUUAUUAAUAAGUUUGUGACCUCGAUGUUGGACUAGGAAAUUUUAAAUUUAGAAGAUUUAAAAUUAAGUUCUGUUCGAACUAUUUUUCCUACAUGA